rnacentral:snRNA from 1 species
GUGCUUGCUUUGGCAGCACAUAUACUAAAAUUGUAAUGAUAUAGAGAAGAUUAGUGUGGCCCCUGCGCAAGGAUGAAACACAAAUUUGUAAAGCGUUCCAUAUUUAA